rnacentral:lncRNA from 1 species
CUCACUUUGUAAAUCAGGCUGGCCUCGAACUCAGAAAUCCGCCUGCUCUGCCUCCCGAGUGCUGGGAUUAAAGGCAUGCGCCACCAUGCCCGGCUGAGUAUACAGAAUCUUAUAUUUACUUCUAAAUGAAAUUGAAUUUCCAUUUAUUUACACUAGCUAUUGGUGCAAGCUAUGCCUAUGAUUUUUAAUUUUCUCAUAGCCACAUUAAUUAAAAGAUGGGCCAGGGAGAUGACUCAGUGUGUAAAGACACUUGCCACCAAAUCUGAUGACCCAAGGACUUAAAAAAGGUUGUUCUCUGAAAUCCACAUUGAGUUGUGCAUAUUCGUGCAUUCCAGAACACACACAAUUUUUUUUUUUUUUUUUUUUUUUUUUUUUUUUUUUUUUACUUUUUUGGUUUUUCCAGGCCAUUUCUCUAUGUAGCCCUGCCUGUGACAGGACUUGCUGGCCAGUUUUCAAGCAGGCUGGCCUCAAACUCAAGAGAUCUGCCUCCUAAGUAUUGGAAUUAAAGGCAUGUGCCUCCACCCCCAGCUCCAGUGCUAAGUUUGCCAUGGGUGGGUUCAGUGUUUACAGUUGAAUGUUCAUUUCCUGCCUGCUGUGAGCCACUUUGCUGUUUGCUUUUGCUCUGUGGUCUGUUAAACUGAAGACCCAUCCUUAUGCAGAAGUGUCAGAUCCUAGGAAAUAAACGGAACUCGACUCUGACUUUUCUCUCCAUUCCUGUCCUCUUACUGCCCUUCUUGGUCUGCAUCGGUUUGCUGACUUCUGCAGCUUUUCUUUAACCUUCCCCGGCAGCACAACAUCAGAAGCAGCUCAGCCUCUGUCUCCCUCCAUAGUUUACUUAGAACUAAAGCUGAUUUGUGAGUCUGGGGAGUCAGCAACAAGCACCGCUUCUUGAAAUCGAUCACAUAAUUAGCCCCAAAGCUCUUCUAAAGGCCCAGACACCCAGCACUGGGUGAGUACUCCCCUGUUGGUACCACUCAUCCAGCCAGGAGACUUCCAAGAUUCAAGUCAGCCAACCUGCACCCACCAAUGUACCUUGUUUAACAAGGGUUGCCAACAGCCAGGUCAGAAGAGAACAUUAGCACCCCUGGAACUGGAGUUACAGAUGACUGGGAGUCACCAUGUGGGUGCUGAACACAGGCCCUCUGCAAGAACAACAAAGCUCUUUAAAGAGGAUCCAUCGCCGCAGCUCCUUUAAAUCCUCAUAGUGACAUCAUAAAAGACACUUCAGAAUACGCUACUGGUCAUAUGUUCCUGCCUUGUCCGCUAAGCAGGCAAACUUCCUCAAAAUGCAGAAUUUUGAGGAAUAAUUUUAGAAACUUUUGUAAUUAAGCACUGC